UUCCGGUAAUCGAGCUGGGCGCAUCUCAUCGCCCGUUGUCCUGAACAAUUUGGAUAUUUUCAUCAUUUCUACAUUAUGGCUGAUCAUCGCCCUCCUGCAGCUGGUCUUUCUCGCAGCUGCUCAAUUUCACAGGCCUGGGUGGCCUGGGUGAAUAUAUAUGUCAUCAGCUGGCUUAUUUGGCCAUUGAUGUGACAGCUGUGCUGGAAAGUCUCUGCUCCUCACCUGCACCAACUGGGCCUCCCUAUUCUCCCGCCUAUCGUAUCAUUCCAUCGGUGACCUAUGUUCAUGCUUCCACUCAAACUGAAGCUCAAUUUCUUCCCAUAACUUCUGUGGAGGGCCCGUUUAUUAUUUCCCCUGAUGAUGAUAGUAGCUUUGCUACAAACACAUCAUAUGACCUCUCGCCUACAAAUUAUUCUCCUACAAGCCCUAUUAACUCCCCAUUAUGAUAGUGAUUCUCAAUAAACUACAUAAUCUGUUA